GAUUUUGCAUGCUCUUCCUUUGACUGUUUUGGUUUGUAUACUCUGGUUUUCUCCCAUGUCCCCAAAACAUGCAGGAGUUGCCAAACCAAGGAAAACAGGGGGUUACAAACCAUGUGCAUUAUUGCAGAGUAUUGCAGCAUAUCUGGUCAGCAGGCUGUAGAUACCAAGGUCAGUGCACUGUUAAGCUCUGUUGGGCUGUUUAUUUUGGCAGGAAGGGAUCUCACUGUGAGGUUUUUGCUCCUACUACCUAGUCUGUCCUGCUACUGAACUGGCAGAUUUGUUUCAGUAUUUAAGCUGUCUUCAAAAUCCAAAAGACAUUGGAGGAUGCAGGAGACAUUGUGUCAGAUAGGAGUAGUACCACCAAUAAGAUUGUCACUGGAUUGCAUCCAUGUCUCACAACAAUAUAGGAAAAUAGGAAGCACCGGGACUCUAAAGACUUGGACCUUUGUCCUUUUGCAAAGAUGUCGGGAGUGCCACACAUUUGCCAGAGACCUCAUAACCCCCAAUGAUCUUCCAAUCUGUCUACUGACUUCAUAGAAAGAGUCACCAAAGACAUGAAUGUUGCUGCUGAGACUGGCAGACUGACAACCAUGACAGCUCUGACGUCACUUCUGGUUUCCAUCCACCUGGACCCACCUCUUCCUCCCAGGACCUUUAUCACUUGAAGCAAUGUCAUUUUGAUCAAUCUUAUGGAGACUUGCGUCACAACUUUUUUUUCUUUUCUAGGCACACUAUGCCACACGUUUUAUUGUGAAUGUAUGGGGUUGGCCCUCAUGGUGCCAUGUGUAUGUGAUAUAUAUACAGUGAUCCCUCGCUAUAUCGCGCUUCGGCUUCACUCCAUCGCGGAUUUUA